rnacentral:rRNA from 1 species
CAUGCAGUCGAGGGGUAGAAAGUGCUUGCACUUUUGAGACCGGCGCACGGGUGAGUAACGCGUAUGCMAUCUACCUUAUACAGGGGAAUASCCCAGGGAAACUUGGAUUAAYGCCCCAUAGUAUUAAAGAGCGGCAUUGUUCUUUAAUUAAAGAUUUAUCGGUAUAAGAUGAGCAUGCGUACCAUUAGCUAGUUGGUGUGGUAACGGCACACCAAGGCUACGAUGGUUAGGGGCCCUGAGAGGGGGAUCCCCCACACUGGUACUGARACACGGACCAGACUCCUACGGGRGGCAGCAGUGAGGAAUAUUGGACAAUGGGCGAGAGCCUGAUCCMGCCAUGCCGCGUGCAGGAAGACGGCCCUAUGGGUUGUAAACUGCUUUUUUACGGGAAGAAACACCUCUACGUGUAGAGGCUUGACGGUACCGUACGAAUAAGGACCGGCUAACUCCGUGCCAGCAGCCGCGGUAAUACGGAGGGUCCGAGCGUUAUCCGGAAUCAUUGGGUUUAAAGGGUCCGUAGGCGGGCAACUAAGUCAGUGGUGAAAUUCUGCAGCUCAACUGUAGAACUGCCAUUGAUACUGGUUGUCUUGAAUCGUUGUGAAGUGGCUAGAAUAUGUAGUGUAGCGGUGAAAUGCUUAGAUAUUACAUAGAAUACCGAUUGCGAAGGCAGGUCACUAACAACGUAUUGACGCUGAUGGACGAAAGCGUGGGGAGCGAACAGGAUUAGAUACCCUGGUAGUCCACGCCGUAAACGAUGGAUACUAGCUGUCCGGUGCACAUUGGUGUGCUGGGUGGCCAAGCGAAAGUGAUAAGUAUCCCACCUGGGGAGUACGUUCGCAAGAAUGAAACUCAAAGGAAUUGACGGGGGCCCGCACAAGCGGUGGAGCAUGUGGUUUAAUUCGAUGAUACGCGAGGAACCUUACCAGGGUUUAAAUGUAGUCUGACAGGCGUGGAAACAUGCUUUUYUUYGGACAGAUUACAAGGUGCUGCAUGGUUGUYGUCAGCUCGUGCCGUGAGGUGUCAGGUUAAGUCCUAUAACGAGCGCAACCCCUGUUGUUAGUUGCCAGCGAGUCAUGUYGGGAACUYUAACAAGACUGCCAGUGCAAACUGUGAGGAAGGUGGGGAUGACGUCAAAUCAUCACGGCCCUUACGUCCUGGGCCACMCACGUGSUACAAUGGCAGGUACAAUGGGCAGCCACUGCGCAAGCAGGAGCGAAUCCACAAAACCUGUYUCAGUUYGGAUCGGGGUYUGCAACUCGACCCCGUGAAGCGGAAUCGCUAGUAAUCGGAUAUCAGCCAUGAUCCGGUGAAUACGUUCCCGGGCCUUGUACACMCCGCCCGUCAAGCCAUGGAAGCUGGAAGCACCUGAAGUCCGUCACCGCAAGGAG